AUUUUUUUGAGGACUGUCUGUGCUGUUUUCCAUAAUGGUUGCACCAAUUUACAUUCCUGCUAACAAUAUAGAACAUUCUUUUUUUUCCCAUAUCCUAACCAAAACUUGUUUUCUCUUGUCUUUUGCUGACAGCUGUUCUAACAGAUACAAGGAGGUAAUUCUUUGUCGUUUUGAUUUAUAUCUCUCUGAUUAGGGAUGUUGAGCAUCUUUUUGUGUACCUAUUGGUAUAUUUCACAUACCUUCUUUGGAAAAAUCUCUCCUUUUAAAAUUGAAGUAGACUUGAGUGAGUUGUAUUCUUUUUUAUUUUGGCCACACUGCACAUCUGGCAGGAUCUCAGUUCUCUGAUCAGAGGUUGAACCUAGGCCAUGGUAGAGGAAGCUCCAAGUUCUAGCCACUGGACCACUGGGGAUUUCCCUGAGUUGUCUUUUUUAGAGAGAUUAAGAUACCAGGUUUCCUGACCCCACAGAGCAGUGUGGCAAUGUGAAAUGGGAGCACUUCAAACUUAAUUUACGAUUCAAAUUUAAUGGAUUAAAUGGACAUCAAGAGUAAUGUUGAUUAUCUAUUAAAUUUAGAUUUCCAUUUAUUCAGAAUGUAUUUAUGGAAGGGUGGAGACGUCUCGCUUUCCUUCUCCAGAAUUUAGAUAAGUAGCUCUAAUUGGUCUUUCUGGCUUAUAUUCAUGGAUCCUGCAAAUAUUUCGUGAUUGCCCACUGUGUGGGGGAAAAACUAUUCUAGAUGUAGAAAGUGGAGUCAGUGAUGAAUGAUGAUAACAAUGCUAGAAAGUACGUCUGGGACGUUUCCUUCGUGCCAGACGUUGUUCCAGGUGCUUUUCAGAAAUUGCAUUAUCCCCACUUUACAGAGAAAGAACUCAGCACAGGGAGGUGAAGUAUUUGCCCAACUGUGGGAGUCAGGCUGUGAGAUAAGGCGGACUAGCUCCAGAGCACGCCAUCAUCUUAACUCCACUGACCCCAGAGGCGCUGAGAAAGAGUCCAUUUCUCUGUGACUCAACCAGACUUCCUAGAAUACUCAAGAUGUGUUUCCUAGCAGCGGCUGAGUCAGAACUUUCCCAUUUUACAGAACCACGAUUAAAGGUAUGUGUUUUGUCUAAGCGUAUAAAGCAAGCCGGUGAGCCCUGUACAAAUAUUAGUAUUUUUUUUUUAUAAGGAACACUAUGAGGAGCUAAUAUUGAGAACCAGGCAACCAAGUUAUCUUUGUUUUGGGGAAGAAGUGGUAGAUUGGAUCAGGUGUGGUUUAAAGGGAGGGAGUGGAGUAAACCCCAAGAUGGUCCGUAACAGUCUGUGGUUAGAAGUCUAAGCUUCCUAUCUCCUUCCAGAAAAUACUCUAUGGUGAGGAAUUCUGAAGUUUUGAGGUUUGGGUUCAUGGUGUGGCAGCUGACCACUAUGGCAAUGGAAAUAUUCUACCAAGAAGGAUUGUGUAAGCUCAGUUUUAUCCUCUUCAGAUUAGAAUCACAGAGUUACAGAGUUUCACAACCUUCAGAUCACAAGGCAUGUCACCCAGUGCUGUCCCUUCUGUUGUUUAAUCACCGCUCAGAAGUCCCUCUGCCAGCCUUGGUGUUUUCAGACACAGAGAUGGGGCACCUGGCUAUCUUCUGAUGUAGACCGUUUGCUUCGGUAGAAAAUGGACUCAAAGGUCUGUCUCCGUAUUGCACUGAAGUCUCUCUCCUUGAAGUGCUCAGACUUGAUUUGUGUUUUGCUGUUCAGCUCCGCUCAAGCUUCUUCCACUAAUCCAUCUUAAGACUAAGAUGCUAACUCGGAAACAUCCUUCCCUCAUCACCAAGUUUGCUCAAGAUUGUCCUCCAUGGUGACUCACAUCUUCAGUGACUGAUCUUAAAAUGUUUUAAGUAUGAAAACGACACAUUUUUGAUUGAAAAAAACCCUACCUCUAAAAUAAGUGACAAUAAUUGUUAAGUAUAGCUUUCCUCAUUCAUAAAAUUUAUGUUCGUUGUAGACACUGGAAAAUAACCCCUAAUCUUGCCAGUCUGAUGUUACAUUACGAAUUGUUUGGUAUAUUUGGUAUGUUUCCUUCUAGACUUUUCUGAGUGUAUUAAUAUUUGUUUUUAACAUUCUUGAGCUCAUAGUAGUGCUCAGUGUUUUCAACCUUGGAUUUAUUUAAAAUGAAAAUUGCUUAAGCACAUCUUCAUGUCAUUAAAAUUCUUAAGGAUUUUUAAUGACCACAUAAUAACCCAUACUAUGAUUGUAUCCCUAUUUAGUUUAAUCAAUGCCAUAUUGUUGGGUCUUUAUCUCCUUUUGUUUCGGUUAUUCUAAAUAAACCUGUGAUGAACAUC